NNNNGCUGCAAAACUAGGGCGAGGGCGCCUCAAACUGGCACCCUUUCACUCGCUGCCAAUUUGGGUGGGGUGUUGCACCUGCUUACAGGGAAGCUCCUCUCCUCGGAGCAGCCCUGCGGGCAGCAUCCCCACGGCUCCGGCCGCCCCGCUCGGGCAGCAGCAACGCUUUCCCUGCCGCCCCACGGACGCUCGCCUGCACCGUGUCCUCGAAGCAGGCAGGGGCCGCCUCUGCCUGCAGAAGGGCUCUCAGGAGCUGGCGCAGCGCUCGCAGGGACGGCGCCUGCACACCCUGACACCAGAAAGGGCGACUGAGGCCGGGCACCCUGCGGAGAUGCCAACGCAGCCAACGGCUGCCAGAGCGCGGGGCGCCCGGAGCUGGGCCCCCACCGAGGGGGCGGCUGAGAAGGGCCGGCGGGUACCCGCGUGYGCGCAGCCGCCGCCGCCACCUCCCCUUCCUCUUCCCUCUGCUCCGGGCGACGAAGGCACACGAUGCCCUCGCAGCACUGAGCCAGGAGGCUGCGCUUUUCCUCCCUGCUCACACGGGCUGCAGCUUGCUGCCAGCAGAAAAAGGGACAGAAACCACAAAGAGGCCUUACUAGCGCUCUCCAGAGCGACUCAAAGGACCACUGCCGUUGUCCCCAUCCACAGCCCCAAAUCCAGCGCCCGCAGCCCCAGCCGCACCAGCCAGCUGCGCUGGGACAGGCAGCGACUCCCACAGCCCCGCACAGACCCUACCUCAACUGCUCCACAGCCACCACGGCCUGGGGGCGCACCGGGGACUCCGGGGGCUCCUCCUCCUCAAUCACCUCCUGCAAGUCACAGGGACACAGGCACAAAGCGGGCAGCGCGCAGGGCUGYGGGAGAGCCCUCCCGCCUGACCCAGCCACGCGCUCUGCUGCCAGGUCCCACCGGCACCACCACCCCCACGGCUCCCACCAAGGCCCCACAGGACGAGGCGGCACCUCCCCGGCGCCCGGACGCACCGUGUUCACCCGCCACAGCCCUGAGCACCAGCACCCAAGCGCCCCGCCAGCUGGGGACGCAGCUCAGGGCGCUCGGGAGCUCGCGCACGGCCCCACGAGACCAGCACGCCCCUGCGCAAACCCGCCCCAGGCACAGCCCAAAGCUCCCCUGCGCAGUGGCCCUGGCUCCGGGCGCUCACCAGCACCGUCUGCAGCAGCUCCCACUCGCAGCUCAGCUCAAACCCGGGGCAUGUGGCCACAGCCCAGACGGCCAGGCUGAGCUCAGCGAUGCUCUGCACCACGGAGAGCUUCAGCUCUGCGUCCUCAGGCCAGGGGACAAAAACACGCUUGGAGCUCGGCCAAGGGCGGAAAGAGCAGUGCGGCUGGGGGCAAUCUGCCUCCAAGCACAGCGCCGGCAGCACACUGUGCCCUCCAGCAACCCAGCGCACCCCAGCUCGGCACCUGCGCCCCAGCCAGCAAACCUCCUCUCCCCUCCCGCGGAGGAGCCUCCCGCGGCCAGGGAAGCAGCUGCCCCGGCUGCCGCCCGGAAAGACCCCGCCGACCCCGGCUCAGGGCAGCAGGGCGAGCAGCGCUGGCACGGCUGCAACGGCAAAGGGGUGCGCGGGAAGGGCGAGGAGAGGCUGGAGCUGGCAGCACCUGGCCCGCUCUGCCCCGCGCCCCAGCACCCGCCCGGCAGCCCUCUCGGCACAGCCGCAGGAUGCUCCCCACCAUGUGGCUCUCAACGGGGGCGAGCAGCUGCUCCCUGGCGGCGCGCAGCGCCAGCCUGCUCUAGAUGCCCACGAGCGCAGCCCGAGUCCUCGCCGGGUCGCUCUGCUGCGCGUUCGCCGGAGAAGCACC
ensembl:lncRNA